rnacentral:rRNA from 1 species
GAUGAACGCUAGCUACAGGCUUAACACAUGCAAGUCGCGGGGCAGCAUGGAGGUUGCUUGCAACCUCUGAUGGCGACCGGCGCACGGGUGCGUAACGCGUAUCCAACCUGCCCCUUACUCUGGAAUAGCCCGGCGAAAGUCGGAUUAAUGCCGGAUGUUGUCAGACGAGGACAUCUGAAUCUGACCAAAGGCCCGAAAGGGUUGGUAAGGGAUGGGGAUGCGUCUGAUUAGGUUGUUGGCGGGGUAACGGCCCACCAAGCCGUCGAUCAGUAGGGGUUCUGAGAGGAAGGUCCCCCACACUGGUACUGAGACACGGACCAGACUCCUACGGGAGGCAGCAGUGAGGAAUAUUGGUCAAUGGGCGCGAGCCUGAACCAGCCAAGUAGCGUGCAGGACGACUGCCCUAUGGGUUGUAAACUGCUUUUAUGCGGGGAUAAAGUGACGUACGUGUACGUUUUUGCAGGUACCGCAUGAAUAAGGACCGGCUAAUUCCGUGCCAGCAGCCGCGGUAAUACGGAAGGUCCUGGCGUUAUCCGGAUUUAUUGGGUUUAAAGGGAGCGCAGGCGGGAGGUUAAGCGUGACGUGAAAUGUAGCCGCUCAACGGCUGAACUGCGUCGCGAACUGGCUUUCUUGAGUGAGUACGACGUCAGCGGAAUUCGUGGUGUAGCGGUGAAAUGCUUAGAUAUCACGAAGAACCCCGAUUGCGAAGGCAGCUGACGAGUCCUUUACUGACGCUAAAGCUCGAAGGUGCGGGUAUCGAACA